rnacentral:lncRNA from 1 species
AUUUCUUUACGCAUGUAAGUUCUCCAUUUCUAUCCAAAUCGAAAUGAAUUAAGAUAUAUAUUUAUAUAUCAUUAGACCAAUGGAACAUCCUGCCUGUUCCCAAAAAAAAAUAAAAAAUUAAUGGAACUUCCUAUAGAUGUCUCUGUUCAUUUACAGAAUAGAUCAAGCAACAUGUCCAGCGGAUCAAGGAUAAAAAAUAACACUAAGGGUAUGUUGUAUACUUGUCCCAGUUGAGACAUUUAUUUUCUCUGUAAUAGCAUUUCUAUAACCAACUAAUCCUAAACAUUUUGUGAAAUUGCAGCUAGCGCGUUCAUCACAAGGGUAGUUCAGCAUCUACUAAAAACAUUAGGUAUGGCACAUAUGACGUGGUCCCAAGUUCUAGAUUAUUAUUCUCUGUACCUGUAAAACUAAAUACCUAAUCUGCAAUUUUUCAACACUAGGAAUCAAAGAAGUUCUGGAGACAAAAUUAAUGCACUUACAAGCACUUGAAUUGGUAAAAUGUUCAUGGAAAGAAGUUCUCUUGUUGAAUGAUUCACAAAUAGGGAACUUACUUAGAAGUCCGUCGCGGCCAUUGUUUGUAGCAGCAGAGUUGGGAAAUUUUAAGUUCAUAGUUGAGCUUAUUCAGUCUUAUCCAGAUCUCAUUUGGAAGGUUGAUGAGGAAAGCCGGAGCAUCUUUCACAUUGCAGUCAUUCACCGCCAAGAAAAGAUCUACAAACUUAUCUACAACAUAGGAGCACACAAGGAUAUAAUUACGUCCUAUAAAAGUAGAAUUAAUGAGAACAUUUUACACUUGGCAGCAAAGUUGGCUCCUACAAAUCGACUUGGUAUUGUUUCAGGUGCAGCACUCCAGAUGCAGCGGGAGUUAUUGUGGUUCAAGGUAAUUUCCACAUCUGGUGAAAUGCUGCUUCCCUAUUACGUAUACUCUCUUUCUAUAUUUCAUAAGAUAUUACUUCUUAUCAUUCCAAAGGAAGUUAAGACAAUUGUUCAAGCCUCAUAUAAGGAGAUGAGAGACUCAAAAGGUCGAACACCUGGAAUGUUGUUCGCUGAAGAACACAAGGAAUUGGUCAAAGAAGGAGAGAAGUGGAUGAAGGAAACUGCAUCAUCUUGCAUGCUUGUUGCUGCACUAAUUACAACAGUAAUGUUUGCAGCAAUCUUUACCGUGCCAGGAGGGAACAACGAUGAUACAGGCACCCCCAUUUUUCUUAAAGAGAAAACAUUCAUUCUUUUCUCUAUAACAGAUGCACUAGCACUGUUUUCUUCAGUAACCUCUAUAUUGAUGUUCUUGUCCAUCCUCACUUCACGCUAUGCCGAAGAAGACUUCCUGAGUACUUUACCAAAAAGGUUAAUCCUUGGCUUCAUCACGCUCUUUGUUGCUAUAGCAGCGAUGCUAGUAGCAUUUAGUUCAAGUUUUUUCAUCGUACUUGGGCAUCAAAUGGCCUGGAUUAUCAUCCCAGUGGCAGUACUUGCUAGUAUUCCCAUAACUUUAUUUGCAUUUCUGCAAUUUCCUCUCUUGGCUGAUAUGAUCAGAUCUACCUAUGGCUCAGGAAUAUUCACUUUUACAAGUAAAGAUACGAUUUAUUGAUUUUUACAAGUUCACAGGUGCAAGAGCUCCAAAAUAUAAUUUUUCAAUCUUUUUUAUGAAAGAGUGCCUUGAAAUUGGAAAGGUUCCAGGUACUUGCAACAAAAGCAGUUCUGUAUCAUUGCAAUUAAGCCCAUGAACUUGCCCUUCCAGACUUCCGCAGUCCAGCCAUUUGGAAGAAGAAAAAAAAAAUCCUCCAAUAGCAGUAAUAAUAAAGCAGAAGUCUUGCCUCAUUUCUAAAUCUUAAUAAAUGGACGGACUUGCUGAGAAUUUUAGGAAAAGCUCCGUAUAUCCCUAUGCAUUUGCACAAAUUACUAGAUAAAAAAAUACCAGCAAUUACAAUGUAAUAUCUUCAAAAUCUGAAGACUACAAACUAACCUUGAAUCUGAUAAGAGAGACCUCCUCGCCGGAGCUACAUUAACCUUGUCGGAAAUUCUUCCAAAUGAACUACUCGGCGAGCUCAAUAACUCACUCUCCGAGCCCGUGGCGGAGGCAGGAUCUCCACGAAGGGGUUCAAAAGGGAAUUGAACUCAUGAACUUAUGUAGAUUUUGAACCCCCUUGACCACUAAACUACACUUUUGGAUUGUGGUAAGGGGUUCAAAACUUAAUAUAUAGAGGUAAAAAACAGAUUUUGCCUUAUAUACCCCUUGCGCCCCCCUAAAUCCGCCCCUGCUCCGAGCCCGUAAAACCGGAAUAUACCAGUAUCACCCAUUGCCGUUUCAUCGACUAAAUUUAACCUGAGAAGGAUUAAUCGGAAAUUGAUCGCCGAUUUCUUCCACGGUAAUAAACGCGGGAGUAUUUGAGAUUGAGGAAACUUGGAAAGUAAAUUCUAGUUAGCCCCUUAUUGGCAAUCGAAUUGGAUCCCUAAGUCACCAAAUAGACAACUUGUGGAGGGCCCUCUUGCAAUAAACUUACCAUCAAAGAUAUUUGGGUUAAUAAUAAUUGGGAGCUACGGAAAAUCUCCUUCAAUCCUCCCAAACAAACUAGGAACUAUA